rnacentral:rRNA from 1 species
AACGAACGCCAGCGGCGUGGAUUAGGCAUGCAAGUCGAACGUGAUCCGUAGCAAUACGGUGAAAGUGGCGGAAGGGUGAGUAAUGCAUAGAUAACCUGCCUCCGAAUCUGGGAUAACUCCGGGAAACUGGAGCUAAUACCGGAUGGGGUUGCUGGAUCGCAUGGUUCGGCAACUAAAGGUGCCCUCUUUACAAUGGUACCGUUCGGAGAGGGGUCUAUGUCCUAUCAGCUAGUUGGUGAGGGUAACGGCCCACCAAGGCAUUGACGGGUA